AUUUGCGGACAUCAUGUGUGACUGAGUAUUGGUGUUAAUCGCCACGCCAGCAGUGAUUAUCUGCUGGCUUUUU
rnacentral:sRNA from 1 species